rnacentral:rRNA from 1 species
AACGAACGCUGGCGGCAGGCCUAACACAUGCAAGUCGAACGCCCUAGCAAUAGGGAGUGGCAGACGGGUGAGUAACACGUGGGAACCUUCCCUAUAGUACGGAAUAGCUCAGGGAAACUUGAAGUAAUACCGUAUACGCCCGAGAGGGGAAAGAUUUAUCGCCAUAGGAUGGGCCCGCGUCGGAUUAGCUAGUUGGUGAGGUAAUGGGCUCACCAAGGCGACGAUCCGUAGCUGGUUUGAGAGAACGACCAGCCACACUGGGACUGAGACACGGCCCAGACUCCUACGGGAGGCAGCAGUGGGGAAUAUUGGACAAUGGGCGCAAGCCUGAUCCAGCCAUGCCGCGUGAGUGAUGAAGGCCUUAGGU